GUUCUCAUGUGAAUGUCCUCUCUGUUUGACAGUAGAAAUUAUGAAUGAAGUUGUUUUCUUGUAAGAAAAUCCAAUAAAAGCUUGAAUGACCAGAAGAGACUAAUCCUUCCACCUGACGGGAUCGGUAGGGUGUGCUGCUACUCUCCAGUGCUGCACAACACGGAGUUCUCAGGAUCUAAAGAGAGAUGCUGCAAGAAUCUCUUCUGCAGUUGGGGUACAGCUGGCUCAGAUCCUCUGAAUACCUGACUCCACAACCCAAGAGGUCAUCCUCAAGUCUCUCCAGACAUCCUAAUCCUAAUGUGACCAGUGGGAAGUCUACAAUGAAGGAAAUCCCAAUGGCAGUGAAGCAGGGUAAAGGCAGGAAGUCCAGUGAAUGUCUUGAAAAGCAAGAUUUUGCCAGUUUUAGCACAUGCUUCUCACAUUUUUGAUGACUGUACCAUUCAUGUGUCAGAAAUAACCACAAGGAAUAAAAAAAGGAAAACCAUAAUCAACAGCAAGAGAUGAAAAAUACUAAUAUCAGCAAGAGUACAAGCUCAGCAGAAGGGGAAUUUUCUACCUUGUAAAUAUGCAGCUAACGUAUUAAUCACAAGGCUACAUAGCCCUUGGCCAGGAUCCAAGGAUGAAACAUGCAUUACUUUUGCCAACAGGGGACUCUUCACCUCCUCCAGCCAUGUAUGCUACAAAAAGAUGCUGAGAAUGGUUCUAAGAAUAGUAAAAGCAACAUAGAUAUAAUAGAUUUAGCAUAUAAAUACGAACAUCCAUAGCACAUAUCAAGCCUUAACAAUAUAUAUCAUGGUUUACUUUCAAAAAUGAUUAAAGUAUUUAAUUAUGUGCAGAGCAUGCUUUCAAAAACCCAGGAUUAUUAAGUAUUGGGAGCAUGGUGAUCUAUUUUGCACACAGGCAAAAAAAGAUGUGAAAAAUUUCAAAUAACACCAUAGCUUGCAGGGGAGUUUGAAUUUGCUUUGGCUGCACACAGUUUAAACAUGAUGCUGGAAGGUCAGGCAGUGCUCUUCUAAAUAAAUCUAUCAGAAUAAAUGGAAUUGCUUUGGAUUUGCUCUGAAUUCAGUUAAAACAGGAUCUGUUCUAUGAAGUUCAUUGUGGUCAGUAAUGCAAGCUAAAAUGAAACUCCAGGAAGUUCUUUGCAUUUUCUUCUAUUUUAUUAUGAAAUUAUGAAAGA